GAUAAGUAUGCCAAUAGGGGCGACGUCCAUAAUGCGGAGAAGAUCUUUCAUAAGAUGAAGCUGAUCGGGUAUGCCCCUAGGUUGGCACAGUUUCAGUCUUUACUCCAGGCUUAUGUUAAGGCUAAAACGCCAGCGUACGGUUUUCGGGAGAGGAUGAAGGCUGAUAACAUGUUUCCUAACAAACUCGUGUCGUCGCACUUGGCGGCCAUUGACGCUUUCAAGAAG
rnacentral:misc_RNA from 1 species